GCAGUUGGUGGGUCGUUGGUACUGCCACCGUCCAGACUGUUUGCCAUAGAGAGCAUGGUGCAAAUCUAGAGCUCCGUUCGGAUUGCAGACGACCACACAAUCUUCAAGCCUACACCUGAAAAGGAUGCAUUUUCUAUGCCAGACCACUGUCAAAAUCCUCAGGUUACUUGAAGAAAUGCAUCUUCGUUCGAUAUCAUUAAUGUCCUAAGGUUCGUUCAAAGUGCAUAUUUCUAUUCGAUGAACAUAUGUUGAUACAACUAUUAUGCGUCUUACCUAUUUGAUCAAGGAGCUCAGAUUGCAAAUGCAAAUUCUGAAAUAUGAACAUAAUGCAUUCUGGUCUUCUUUUCAUUUUCAGAUAUUUUAGAGUUUGACUUAUGGUCUCUACGUUCACCAUGACUUGAACGCCUGUGCAACUACUUGUACUCCGUGAUUAUGAUGUUGAAGUAAGGAAGGGUAAUCGAAAUUAAGUCAUUUCGUUGAAGCAAAGUAUAAUCUUUUUAACCAGGUUAAGAUGUCUUUCUUCUCAUUAUUGAUAUAAUCCUUCAUAACUUUAUGUUGCAUUACUUCAGCAAUGAUUUCUUUUUUGUUUUAUCACCUCCCAUAUCAUACUUCUUCAUAGCUUCUUCCAACUCAUCUAUUGUUAUGUACCAUUUAUAGCCUGCUGCUUCCAACUCAUCUGCUUGACACGCUGCUACUGAGGAAAAGACCAGGUUAGCCACUUAGACUAGCUUUAGCUGUGCCAAUUCUUACAAAAGCUAGAAAUAUACUGAUCCUUGAUUUAGGUAUCCAUGCCAAUUUUUGUUGUAACUGAAAAUACAAGGUUCGCCACACCAUCAUCUUGUGCCACGGUAUGGACAGAAAAAUAAUAUAUAAUGGAUAAAAACACCAAAAUUUAUGGUCAACGGAACUUAACCAAAAGUAUGCAGCAGUGUUGGAUGCAAAUAGAAGGUUAGAUAAAUGGUAUGUGUUAUUUUUCUAAUAUUCUGAUACUCUUGAAAAAGGUUGAAUAGACAGAUCCCUCCAAACUUCCCACUUGCUUUUACUAUUUCGUGAUUAUUGCAAACUAAGACUAUCAAACUCAAAGGAUUUCUAAUCUCGCAUGUAUCUAUUAGAAUCCACAGAAACUAGAGUGGAAACCACUGUCAAUUGAUUUGUUGCCUCAUCCUGAUAACUUCGCCAAUGCAAGGUUCAACAGGAGUAGUAGGUUUAGUUAUUCUGUGUCGCCACAACUUCUCCUAUUUUGCCUCUUCAUUUUGUAAGAAAUUUUCUGUCCUACGACCCUACCUCACUAUUUUAUAUGUUGUCAACACACAUUUUAGCAACUCAGUACUGCCAUUUUAGUCAUCUUUUUAUAGAGAAGUUCCAAGUUUAUUUUUUUAUUGGAAACAAAAUUCAAUUUUCUAUUGAAUUGUUGAUUUUAGUUACGAACGAUGGUGAAAUCAGGAGAGAGGCGUUGGGGUGACGGACCAUGGAGAUGGGGACACCAUCUAGGUAGAGGCGGCUG
rnacentral:lncRNA from 1 species